rnacentral:rRNA from 1 species
AUUGAACGCUGGCGGCAGGCCUAACACAUGCAAGUCGAACGAGUGGCGGACGGGUGAGUAAUGUCUGGGAAACUGCCCGAUGGAGGGGGAUAACUACUGGAAACGGUAGCUAAUACCGCAUACCAUCGGAUGUGCCCAGAUGGGAUUAGCUAGUAGGUGGGGUAACGGCUCACCUAGGCGACGAUCCCUAGCUGGUCUGAGAGGAUGACCAGACACAAUGGAAAUGAGACACGGUCCAGACUCCUACGGGAGGCAGCAGGGGGGAAUUGUGGACAAUGGGCGAAAGCCUGAUCGAGCCAUGCCGCGUGUAUGAAGAAGGCCUUCGGGUUGUAAAGUACUUUUAGCGGGGAGGCGUUACUCGCAGAAGAAGCACCGGCUAACUCCGUGCCAGCAGCCGCGGUAAUUC